rnacentral:rRNA from 1 species
ACGCUCGACACCUACUGGAGGCAGCAGUGGGGAAUAUUGGGCAAUGGGCGCAAGCCUGACCCAGCAACGCCGCGUGAAGGAAGAAGGCCCUCGGGUUGUAAACUUCUUUUGACAGGGACGAAGAAAAUGACGGUACCUGUCGAAUAAGCCACGGCUAACUACGUGCCUGCAGCCGCGGUAAUCUGAGCGGGCUGGCAAGGC